rnacentral:rRNA from 1 species
UACGAAGGGGGCUAGCGUUGCUCGGAAUCACUGGGCGUAAAGGGUGCGUAGGCGGGUCUUUAAGUCAGGGGUGAAAUCCUGGAGCUCAACUCCAGAACUGCCUUUGAUACUGAGGAUCUUGAGUUCGGGAGAGGUGAGUGGAACUGCGAGUGUAGAGGUGAAAUUCGUAGAUAUCAGGAGGAACACCGGUGGCGAAGGCGGCUCUCUGGACGGUGACUGACGCUGAGACGCGAAAGCGUGGGGAGCAAACAGG